ensembl:misc_RNA Metazoa_SRP Metazoan signal recognition particle RNA
GCCAGGCAUGGUGGCACAUGCCUGUAAUUCCAGGUACUCAGGAGGCUGAGGCAGAAGAAUCACUUGAACUCAGGAGCGGGAGGUUGCAGUGAGCUGAGAUCAUGCCACUGCACUUCAGCCUGGGUGACAAAGUGAGAUUCUGUCUCAA